CUUGGUCAUUUAGAGGAAGUAAAAGUCGUAACAAGGUUUCCGUAGGUGAACCUGCGGAAGGAUCAUUAAUGAAACUUCAAAGUCGGCUCGUCUGUCUGUGCUGGUGGAGACACAUGUGCACGUCGGCGAGUCGCAAAUCCACACACACCUGUGCAUCUAUGACUCUGAGUGCCGCUUUGCAUGGCCCUCAGGGGCCUGGUACUCGAGUACUUUACACACUCUGAAUGUAAUGGAAUGUCUUUUUGUACAAUGUACAACUAAAAACAACUUUCAACAACGGAUCUCUUGGCUCUCGCAUCGAUGAAGAACGCAGCGAAAUGCGAUAAGUAAUGUGAAUUGCAGAAUUCAGUGAAUCAUCGAAUCUUUGAACGCACCUUGCACCCUUUGGUAUUCCGAAGGGUACACCCGUUUGAGUGUCAUUGUAAUCUCACUACAACCACUUUAUUGUUGUUUGUAUGUGGACUUGGAUGUUGCCGUGUAACAAACGGCUCGUCUGAAAUGCCUGAGUGUACCCUGCUUUUGCGGCGUAUUCGGUGUGAUAAAUCUUCACCGGAGUUGACUUUCGGGUCGCGCUUGUAUCGUCGGGCUCUAUGCUUCCAACCGUCCUGACAAGACAAUCUCUGACAAUUUGACCUCAAAUCGGGUGGGACUACCCGCUGAACUUAAGCAUAUCAAUAAGCGGAGGAAAAGAAACUAACAAGGAUUCCCCUAGUAACGGCGAGUGAAGAGGGAAAAGCUCAAAUUUUGAAUCUGGUGUCUUUGACUCCCGAGUUGUAAUCUAGAGAAGUGUUUUCCGCGCUGGACCGUGUACAAGUCUCCUG
rnacentral:rRNA from 1 species